rfam:Triticum urartu cultivar G1812 contig866205, whole genome shotgun sequence.
CGUUAGAGCAUUGAGAUGACAUUUUCCUAGUACGAGAGGACCAAGAACGUCACACCCCUGGUGUACCUUAUCGUGCCUACGGUAAACGAUGGGUAGCCAAGUGCGGAGAGGAUAAAUUGCCGAAAGCAUAUAAGUAGUAAGCCCACCCCAAGAUGAGUGCUCUCUCCUUAGACUUCUCUAGAGCCUCUGGUAUCAUAGUUGAGAGAGCAACAAGUUCUCCACCCAUACGGGGACGAUGCGACAAUAGUAUGAAAAUAUGAUAAGAUAGCGGCAAGACGAAACGUUUAAAUAGGUGUCAAGUCGAAAGUGCAUUGUAUACAGCUAAGGCAUCCUAACAAAGGAA